UGGGGAAUUUUGCGCAAUGGGCGAAAGCCUGACGCAGCAACGCCGCGUGAUCGAUGAAGCUUCUAGGAGCGUAAAGAUCUGUCGUAAGGGAAGAAAAGUUCGGAUGUAAAUAGCAUUCGUUCUAGACGGUACCUUACAAGAAAGCACCGGCUAACUUCGUGCCAGCAGCCGCGGUAAUACGAGGGGUGCUAGCGUUGUCCGGAAUUAUUGGGCGUAAAGGGUUCGUAGGCGUUUUGACAAGUCAAUUGUUAAAUACAUCGGCUUAACCGAUGAAAUGCAUUUGAAACUGUCGAAAUAGAGUAUAGGAGAGGAAAGCGGAAUUCCUGGUGUAGCGGUGACAUGCGUAGAUAUCAGGAAGAACACCAAUGGCGAAGGCAGCUUUCUGGCCUAUUACUGACGCUGAUGAACGAAAGCGUGGGGAGCGAACAGG
rnacentral:rRNA from 1 species